GUGCACCAGGCAAGAAACCUCCGCAAUGCGGGCAACCGCGACGGGGGACCCCGAGUGCCGUGGCAUCGCCACGGCUUUUCCGGAGUGUAAAAAGCUCCGGGAAUAAGGGCUGGGCAAGGCCGGUGGCAGCCGCCGCGGUAAUACCGGCGGCCCGAGUGGUGACCGUUAUUAUUGGGCCUAAAACGUCCGUAGCCGGUUUAAUAAAUGCCUGGGUAAAUUGUGUAGCUUAACUAUACGAAUUCCGGGUAGACUGUUAAACUUGAGGCCGGGAGAAGUUAGAGGUACUCCUGGGGUAGAGGUGAAAUUCUGUAAUCCUAGGGGGACCACCAGUGGCGAAAGGCGUCUAACUAGAACGGGUCUGACGGUGAGGGACGAAGCCCUGGGGCGCAAAAC
rnacentral:rRNA from 1 species